GAAACACUGGUUCUCUUACGAUCACUUAAGUUAAGCAAAGUCGAGCCUGGUCAGUACCUAGAUGGAUGACCUCUAGGAACGACCAGGUGCUGUAAG